AGUAACACGUCGAUAAUCUAACCUUAUGUCUAGGAUAACCUUGGGAAACUGAGGGUAAUACUGGAUAUGGGAUUGGUACUGGAGUGUCCUUUCUUUUAAAAGCAAUGCAUAAGGAUGGGUCGGCGGCAGAUUAGGUUGUUGGUGAGGUAAAGGCUCACCAAGCCGGAGAUCUGUAGGGGCCGUGAGAGCGGUAGCCCCGAGAAGAGCACUGAGAUACUGGCUCUAGCCCUACGGGGUGCAGCAGGCGCGAAACCUCUACAAUGCACUAACGUGUGAUAGGGGGAUCCAGGGUGCUUAGCUUAGCUAGGCUUUUGCCAACUGUAAAUAGGUUGGCGAAUAAGUGGUGGGCAAGACUGGUGCCAGCCGCCGCGGUAACACCAGCGCCACAAGUGGCAACUAUAAUUAUUGGGCCUAAAGCGUCCGUAGCCUGUUUGAUAAAUUUCUUGUGAAAUUGUUGUGCUCAACGCAACAACGUGCAGGAAAGACUGUCAAACUCGGGACUGGGAGGAGUUAGGAGUAUUUUGGGGGUAGCGGUAAAAUGUUAUAAUCCUCAUGAGACUACCGGUGGCGAAGGCGCCUAACUAGAACAGAUCCGACGGUGAGGGACGAAAGCUAGGGGAGCAAAUCGGAUUAGAUACCCGUGUAGUCCUAGCUGUAAACUCUGCGAGCAAGAUGUUGCACAUUCUUCGAGAAUGUGCAGUAUCGAAGAGAAGUCGUUAAGCUCGCCGCCUGGGAAGUAUGGUCGCAAGGCUGAAACUUAAAGGAAUUGGCGGGGGAGCACUACAAGGGGUGCGGCGUGCGGUUUAAUCUAACUCAACGCAGAGAAUCUCACCAGCAGCGACGGCAGGAUGAAUGUCAGAUUAAAGGUUUUACUUGACGAGCCGAGAGGUAGUGCAUGGCCGCCGUCAGCUCGUUCCGUAAGGUGUCCUGUUAAGUCAGGCAACGAGCGAGACCUGUACCUACAAUUGCCAGCAGCUUUUAGGACUGGGCACAUUGCGGGAACUGCCUUGGAAACAAGGAGGAAGGUGCAGGCUACGGUAGGUCUGUAUGCUCCGAAUCUGCUGGGCUACACGCGCGCAACAAUGGUAUGGACAAUGGGAUGCUACUCCGAAAGGAGACGCUAAUCCUCGAAACCAUAUCUCAGUUCAGAUUGAGGAUUGUAACUCAUCCUCAUGACGCUGGAAUCCCUAGUAAUCAGGUGUUAGCAUCGCCCGGUGAAUAUGUCCCUGCUCCUUGCACACACUGCCCGUCAAAUCAACCGAGUCGGGCCUGGAUGAGACUUACGCUUUUACGUGAGGCGAAUCUUGGCUCAGUGAGGUGGGUUAAGUCGUCACAAGGUC
rnacentral:rRNA from 1 species